rnacentral:rRNA from 1 species
UACGUAGGGCGCAAGCGUUGUCCGGAAUUAUUGGGCGUAAAGAGCUCGUAGGCGGCUUGUCACGUCGGAUGUGAAAGCCCGGGGCUUAACCCCGGGUCUGCAUUCGAUACGGGCAGGCUAGAGUGUGGUAGGGGAGACUGGAAUUCCUGGUGUAGCGGUGAAAUGCGCAGAUAUCAGGAGGAACACCGGUGGCGAAGGCGGGUCUCUGGGCCGUAACUGACGCUGAGGAGCGAAAGCGUGGGGAGCGAACAGG